AACGCACAUUGCGCCCUCUGGUACUCCGGGGGGCAUGCCUGUUCGAGCGUCUUUACGCCAGUCCAGCCUCGCUGGGUCUUGGGCGUCGCGGCCCGCCGCGCGCCCCAAUGUCUCCGGCUGAGCCGUCCGUCUCGAAGCGUUGUGGCAACCCAAAUCGCUUGCGGGAUCGGAGGGUUUGACGCCGUCCAAACACACCACACCAGGUUGACCUCGGAUCAGGUAGGGAUACCCGCUGAACUUAA
rnacentral:misc_RNA from 1 species